rnacentral:lncRNA from 1 species
GAUAUUGUAGUUGUGAUACUUUCUCUUUUAGUUGAGAUUUUGGAAUGUGUACCCUUGUUCUAUUGUUGAUAAUUGUAUUAAUUUCUACUAUGCUUUGAUAUCAGGAUAGGAUCCUUUUAUGUUUUACUCCUAUCGACUUGUUUCUUGUAGACGCCUUAUAUACUGUAGGUAUAUGGCGGGUUUGUGCACGUACCGGAUAUGCUUCCGCUGGUACCCGGGCGUGACAGAUUAUAGUGGUAUCAGAGCCUAGGGUUGAGUCUUAGUAGACCUAGCAAACCUUAGGCUGGUUGGACUAUAAGAAUAGGCUCGUGAGAGACGAAGUCUAGUUGAGUUUGUUGUUAGCGAAAGUAUUUUGAUUGGAUAAUUUAUAAACUCCGAAUGGUAGGAGUUUGAUCGGAAUGUGCAAUUACUAACUUUGCAGAGGGCCACGUUGGCGGCCGACAACGUGACAUCGGAAGUUAGUAUAUGUUAUAUUUCAUUACUUUCGCU